AUAUUAUUUUUUAAUAUAUUGAUUUUAUAUAUUAGGUAGGUGCCCAUUCUGUUCCUAUCUUCAGAAGUUAUUUAUACCUAUGCAAUACCUUCGCUCAGGUUAAAGAAUGGAAUACUAGUCAUGCAUCAAAUGUAUGUAAAAAUCUAGCUUUUAUAUAUUAACUUGUGAUCAGAGCAACUGGUAUGUUGGUUGGAUAUAUUACAUAUCCAUUCGAUGUUUAUCACCAGAAGUUAGUUCUACCUUUGCAGUACCUCUGCUCUACAUACCUCCUCGCUGGUUAAAAAAUGGAAUAUAAAUCUCAUAUCAAGUUGGUGUAAAAAUUUAGUUCAAUAAAUUAAGAAUUUGUAAACGUUAUCAAAAUUUUGAGUGGAGCAAUUGUUUUACUGGUUUAGCAUGAGUAUGAAUCUGAUAUCAAUUGGAUGUACAAAGAUAGUUUACUACUUAAAGAACCUAUCAGUGAACCAACUGAUUAUAAAACACUUUUUAAUGGGAAUAAAAACAAAUUUUCAAAAGAUUUCAAUUAGCUAUUUGUAUAUUCAAACACUUUAUUUACUGAGAGAAGAGACUAUAGAUUCAA